rnacentral:rRNA from 1 species
GACGAACGCUGGCGGCGUGCUUAACACAUGCAAGUCGAACGGAAAGGCCCUGCUUUUGUGGGGUGCUCGAGUGGCGAACGGGUGAGUAACACGUGAGUAACCUGCCCUUGACUUUGGGAUAACUUCAGGAAACUGGGGCUAAUACCGGAUAGGAGCUCCUGCUGCAUGGUGGGGGUUGGAAAGUUUCGGCGGUUGGGGAUGGACUCGCGGCUUAUCAGCUUGUUGGUGGGGUAGUGGCUUACCAAGGCUUUGACGGGUAGCCGGCCUGAGAGGGUGACCGGCCACAUUGGGACUGAGAUACGGCCCAGACUCCUACGGGAGGCAGCAGUGGGGAAUAUUGCACAAUGGGCGGAAGCCUGAUGCAGCAACGCCGCGUGCGGGAUGACGGCCUUCGGGUUGUAAACCGCUUUCGCCCUGUGACGAAAGCGUGAGUGACGGUAAAUGGA